UACGUAGGGUGCAAGCGUUGUCCGGAAUUAUUGGGCGUAAAGAGCUCGUAGGCGGCUUGUCGCGUCGACUGUGAAAACCCGGGGCUUAACUUCGGGCUUGCAGUCGAUACGGGCAGGCUGGAGUUCGGUAGGGGAGACUGGAAUUCCUGGUGUAGCGGUGAAAUGCGCAGAUAUCAGGAGGAACACCGGUGGCGAAGGCGGGUCUCUGGGUAGUAACUGACGCUGAGGAACGAAAGCGUGGGUAGCGAACAGG
rnacentral:rRNA from 1 species